rnacentral:rRNA from 1 species
AUGCUGGAUCGACCGGAUCGCAUCCCCGGCGCUCGCUUCUCCAUGCCUGUACACGAGAGCAAUCGCGUCAUCGACUGCCGCCACGGGCUUGUCCUCUUCCUCAGCCCAUGGCCGCCGCGCCGCCUACUUGUGUGGGACCCCGUCGCCCGCGAGCAGCGCCGCCUCAUCUCCCCACCUGAGGUGGACAGCAAGCAGAUGUUCAUCUUCAACGGGGCUGUGCUUCGCCCUGCCCGCGGCCAAGGCUGCAGUUCAAGCCAUUUCCAGGUGGCCCUGGUAGCCCGUGACAGAGCAUGUACGAGAGUCUCCGUAUCCCUUUACUCAUCGGAGACUGGGAUAUGGAGCAACAUCAAAUCACUGCAGCUGAAAUUUUUACCUCUGGAACGAGCCAGUACUAUGAUUGGGAAUUCCCUUUGCUGGUUACUUCCAGUGCAUCGUCAAAAUGUCAUACUUGAGUUUGAGCUGGAUAAGCACACCCUAGCUAUGACAGAGCUGCCAGCACCUGUAGAACCCUAUAAAAAGUUAUGGAUUAUGCCGGCCGAAGAUGGUGGGCUUGGCUUCAUCCAUCUCUCACAAUUUCACGCCAAAUUAUGGAAGAGAAAGCCUGAUUCUAAUGGUUUGGAUGUUUGGGUGCUCAAUAGAGCUAUUGAGUUUGAGGAGCUCAGACCAACUUGCAUUGGAUACUCUCUCCUUUACUGGGGUUUGCCGAGGAGAGUAAUGCAGUCCUUGUACAGACAGAUUCUGGUGUCUUCAUGGUUUAUCUCCAGUCAACGGGGUUUAAGAAACUUUCCAAUCUGA